ACCAGCUAGCCAUAACAAGGCAGGACAGAGCCGCCUCUUCUGCUGCGACAUCUCUUCUUCCAAAACCACAUCAUAUUUUUAUACCUUGACCCGAUCUGAAGGUUAUGGGAUUUUAUCUUGAAUAGCCUAAUGUUGAAAAAUGGAUUGUCCUCUCCCCAAAAAAACACCCCAGCAUGGAUAAACAGUCUUGUGGGAAACAGAUCUUCAAGUUACCAGGCUCCUCUCCUGUGGAAGCAACUACCAGUUUUAGUGUGUGAGGCAGACUCCAUGCCUAUUUUAAGCCCCUCCCUGUCCUGGAGAAAUGAACGGCCAUCACCAUCAUAUUUUGGAAAGUGUUAACCCUCCUGGAGGCACUUUCUUUGACAGCACUGCUCCUACAGAAAAAACAAGUGCCUCCUUUUCCUGAUGAGUGAGCACCGAUGAAAGGCAGAAUGUGAUGAUCUCUACUCAAAGCUAGAAAUGUGGUUCUUUUGGCAGCUAAUCUGUACAGUGACAACAACGGUUCUUUGUUUAGCUCAUUUCUAAGUGUGCAAAUGUGUUUUUCUGCUAAAGCACAUGGGCUUUACCCAAACCUGAAGAGUCCACUUCAAACUGAAGAAAAUUGUCUAUUUUCUGGUUGAAGAAAACAAACUGAUAUUUUAAGACAGUGGCAUCUAUGACUAUUAUGCACUGAGCCACAACCUUUAGUGAUAUUUUAAACCACCUUGGGU